rnacentral:lncRNA from 1 species
CGGCGAUCCAUCUCAAAAUGUCGACAGAAACCGGCGCGUUCAAUUCUCUGAAGCUGCUAACCGUGUUUCUUGUGGUUGCUGCUAUUGCAACUCCAGUUAAUGGCUCCAAUUCUAGAAAGCUGGAUGAAAGCCCCGCGUCUGGAUCGCCUGAUGCGGGAGUCAAGUGCGGUGGAUGCUCUUCGUGCCAGAAUCCAUGCAACCAAAGCCCUCCACCGCCACCACCGCCGUCACCGCCACCGCCUCCCAAGAAGCCACGGGCACCGUACUGUCCUCCUCCACCUCCACCACCUGCAUCUUUCUUAUACGUAACUGGCCCUCCCGGGACCUUGUACCCGAUAGACCAGGACUACGGCGGGGCCGGCCGGAACUUCAUGGUGGGGUUGCCAAUUUUGGCUGGUUGCGGAUUGUUGAAUCUUCUUCUUCUGUAG